AGUGAACGCUGGCGGCGUGCCUAAUACAUGCAAGUCGAACGCGAAAGUCCUUCGGGAUGAGUAAAGUGGCGCACGGGUGAGUAAUGGUUGAGAACGUGCCCUGAGGUGGGGAAUAACAGUUGGAAACGACUGCUAAUACCGCAUGGUGUCGCAAGACUAAAGGUGGGGAUCUUCGGACCUACCGCCACAGGAUCGGCUCAACUCCCAUUAGCUAGUUGGCAGGGUAAUGGCCUACCAAGGCAACGAUGGGUAUGUGGUCUUAGAGGAUGAUCACACACACUGGAACUGAGACACGGUCCAGACUCCUACGGGAGGCAGCAGUAGGGAAUAUUGCACAAUGGAGGAAACUCUGAUGCAGCAACGCCGCGUGAGUGAAGAAGGCCCUUGGGUCGUAAAGCUCUUUAGCCUGGAAAGAAGUGCUCGUGGGUAAACAAUCCGCGAGUGUGACGGUACCAGGAGAAUAAGGUCCGGCUA
rnacentral:rRNA from 1 species